CCUACGGGAGGCAGCAGUGGGGAAUAUUGCGCAAUGGGCGAAAGCCUGACGCAGCGACGCCGCGUGAGGGAUGAAGGUCUUCGGAUCGUAAACCUCUGUCAGCAGGGAAGAACGGUCACUGUGCUAAUCAGCAGUGAAUUGACGGUACCUGCAAAGGAAGCACCGGCUAACUCCGUGCCAGCAGCCGCGGUAAUACGGAGGGUGCGAGCGUUAAUCGGAAUUACUGGGCGUAAAGCGCUCGUAGGCGGUAUGUCAAGUCAAGGGUGAAAUCCCCGCGCUCAACGUGGGAACUGCCUUUGAAACUGGCAGACUGGAGUGUGUGAGAGGAUAGUGGAAUUCCAGGUGUAGGGGUGAAAUCCGUAGAUAUCGGGAGGAACAUCAGUGGCGAAGGCGACUAUCUGGCACAUAACUGACGCUGAGGAGCGAAAGCGUGGGUAGCAAACAGGAUUAGAUACCCCGGUAGUC
rnacentral:rRNA from 1 species